rnacentral:rRNA from 1 species
UACAGAGGGGGCAAGCGUUGUUCGGAAUUACUGGGCGUAAAGGGCGCGUAGGCGGCCUUCUAAGUCGAACGUGAAAUCCCUCGGCUUAACCGGGGAACUGCGUCUGAUACUGGAUGGCUUGAGUUUGGGAGAGGGAUGCGGAAUUCCAGGUGUAGCAGUGAAAUGCGUAGAGAUGUGGAGGAACACCGAUGGCGAAGGCAGCCUCCUGGGCCAGCACUGACGCUCAUGCACGAAAGCGUGGGGAGCAAACAGG